UAACCUAAGAGUUUGAUCCUGGCUCAGAACGAACGCUGGCGGCAUGCCUAACACAUGCAAGUCGAACGCUAUCUUGUAUAGAGUGGCGCACGGGUGAGUAACGCGUGGGAACCUGCCUUUCUCUGCGGGACAACGGUUGGAAACGACCGCUAAUACCGCAUACGCCCUACGGGGGAAAGGUCAGCCGGAGAAAGAGGGGCCCGCGUUAGAUUAGCUAGUUGGUGGGGUAAUGGCCUACCAAGGCGACGAUCUAUAGCUGG
rnacentral:rRNA from 1 species